GACGAACGCUGGCGGCGUGCUUAACACAUGCAAGUCGAGCGGAAAGGCCCUUCGGGGUACUCGAGCGGCGAACGGGUGAGUAACACGUGAGUAACCUGCCCUAGGCUUUGGGAUAACCCCGGGAAACCGGGGCUAAUACCGGAUAUGACCUGGUGCCGCAUGGUGCUGGGUGGAAAGUUUUUUCGGCCUGGGAUGGGCUCGCGGCCUAUCAGCUUGUUGGUGGGGUGAUGGCCUACCAAGGCGAUGACGGGUAGCCGGCCUGAGAGGGCGACCGGCCACACUGGGACUGAGACACGGCCCAGACUCCUACGGGAGGCAGCAGUGGGGAAUAUUGCACAAUGGGCGGAAGCCUGAUGCAGCGACGCCGUGUGAGGGAUGAAGGCCUUCGGGUUGUAAACCUCUUUCAGCAGGGACGAAGCGUGAGUGACGGUACCUGCAGAAGAAGCGCCGGCCAACUACGUG
rnacentral:rRNA from 1 species